CCUACGGGGAGCAGCAGUGGGGGAUAUUGCACAAUGGGGGAAACCCUGAUGCAGCGACGCCGCGUGUGGGAAGACGGUCCUCUGGAUUGUAAACCACUGUCCCCAGGGACGAAGAUGACGGUACCGGGGGAGGAAGCUCCGGCUAACUACGUGCCAGCAGCCGCGGUAAUACGUAGGGAGCGAGCGUUGUCCGGAAUUACUGGGGGGAAAGGGAGCGUAGGCGGGACUGCAAGUUGGGUGUCAAAUCUACCGGCUCAACCGGUAGCCGCACUCAAAACUGCAGUUCUUGAGUGAAGUAGAGGCAGGCGGAAUUCCUAGUGUAGCGGUGAAAUGCGUAGAUAUUAGGAGGAACACCAGUGGCGAAGGCGGCCUGCUGGGCUUUUACUGACGCUGAGGCUCGAAAGUGUGGGGAGCAAACAGGAUUAGAUACCCGAGUAGUC
rnacentral:rRNA from 1 species